UGCCAGCCGCCGCGGUAAUACGGAGGGUGCAAACGUUGCUCGGAUUUACUGGGCGUAAAGGGAGCGCAGGCGGAAUGGUCAGUUCGAAGUGGAAUCCCGGGGCUCAACCUCGGACUUGCUUCGAAUACUGCCAAUCUUGAGUACGUGAGAGGCAGGCGGAAUUCAGGGUGUGGCGGUGAAAUGCUUAGAUAUCCUGAGGAACACCAAUGGCGAAGGCAGCUUGCUGGCACGAUACUGACGCUGAGGCUCGAAAGCGUGGGGAGCGAACGGGAUUAGAUA
rnacentral:rRNA from 1 species